AAGAGAGUCCAAGACUCCCUAUAACCCACUGUGAACCUACCUCUUGUCGUUGCUUCGGCAGGCGGCCCCAGGGCGGGGCCGUUGCCUCUUUCAAGGUGCCUGCCGAAGGCCCAGAUAAAAACUCUGUUUUGGUUGGCGUCUGAGUGCUAGCUUGAAUCAAGUUA
rnacentral:misc_RNA from 1 species